rnacentral:rRNA from 1 species
GCUUAACACAUGCAAGUCGAACGGUAACAGAUGUAGCUUGCUACCUGCUGACGAGUGGCAAACGGGCGAGUAACACGUGCUUGACCUACCUUAAUGUAAGUGGACAACCUUGGAAACAAUGCUAAUCCCUUAUAAGCUCUUAGAGUUUAAAUACCUAAAGAGGAAAGAUUUAUCGCCUUAAGAGGGGGGUGCGGAUCAACAGCUAGUUGGUAGGGUAAAAGCCUACCAAGGCGAUGACGGAUAGCCGGCCUGAGAGGGUGAUCGGCCGCAACGGGACUGAGACACGGCCCGUACUCCUACGGGAGUGCAGCAGUGAGGAAUUUUGGACAAUGGAGGAAACUCUGAUCCAGCUAUUCUGCGUGAAAGAUGAAGCUUUUCGGAGUGUAAACUUCUUUUCUGGGGGAAGAUGAAUGACGGUACCUCAGGAAUAAGGGGCGGCUAACUAUGUGCCAGCAGCCGCGGUAAUACAUAGGCCUCAAACGUUACCCGGAGUUACUGGGCGUAAAGGGUCCGUAGCCGGAUAUAUAAGUCUAUCUUCAAAGACUGAAGCUUAACUUCAGGAAGGGGGUGGAUACUGUAUAUCUAGAGAUAGAAGGGGGUUAGUGGAAUUUCCGGUGGAGCGGUGGAAUGCGUUGAUAUCGGGAAGAACGCCAAAAGUGAAGACAGCUAACUACUACUAAUCUGACGGUGAGGGACGAAAGCAUAGGUAUCAAAUAGGAUUAGAUACCCUAGUAGUCUAUGCUGUAAAUGAUGUAUGCUAAGUGUUGGCUUUAAGGAGUCAGUACUGAACCUAACGGGAUAAGCAUACCGCCUGGGAAGUAUAGUCGCAAGACCGAAACUCAAAAGGAUAGGCGGGGGAACAUACAAACAGUGGAUUAUCUCGAUUAAUUGGAUAAUAAACCAAGAAUCUUACCCGGGUUUGACAUCCUUGGAAUCUCGUAGAGAUAUGAGAGUGUCCAGCUUGCUGGAAGCCAAGUGACAGGUGCUGCAUGGCCGUCGUCAGCUCGUGCCGCAAGGUGUUCGGUUAAUUCCGAUAACGAGCGCAACCCUUGUACUUAGUUAGAAAUGUCUAAGUAAACUGCCUGGGUAACCAGGAGGAAGGAGAGGACGACGUCAGGUCAUCAUGGCCCUUAUGUCCGGGGCAUCAGAGGUAAUACAAUGGGUUGAUACAAACUGAAGCGAAGGAGUGAUCUGGAGCGAAUCGGAUAAAACAGCUCUAAGUACGGAUUGUAGUCUGGAACUGACUGCAUGAAGUUGGAAUUGUUAGUAAUGGUGGGUCAGAAAACCACCGUGAAUAUGUCCCUGUUCCUUGCACUCACCGCCCGUCACACCAUGGGAGUUG